GGUUAAGCGACUAAGCGUACACGGUGGAUGCCCUGGCAGUCAGAGGCGAUGAAGGACGUGCUAAUCUGCGAUAAGCGUCGGUAAGGUGAUAUGAACCGUUAUAACCGGCGAUUUCCGAAUGGGGGAAACCCAGUGUGUUUCGACACACUAUCAUUAACUGAAUCCAUAGGUUAAUGAGGCGAACCGGGGAACUGAAACAUCUAAGUACCCCGAGGAAAAGAAAUCAACCGAGAUUCCCCCAGUAGCGGCGAGCGAACGGGGAGCAGCCCAGAGCCUGAAUCAGUGUGUGUGUUAGUGGAAGCGUCUGGAAAGGCGCGCGAUACAGGGUGACAGCCCCGUACACAAAAAUGCACAUGCUGUGAGCUCGAUGAGUAGGGCGGGACACGUGGUAUCCUGUCUGAAUAUGGGGGACCAUCCUCCAAGGCUAAAUACUCCUGACUGACCGAUAGUGAACCAGUACCGUGAGGGAAAGGCGAAAAGAACCCCGGCGAGGGGAGUGAAAAAGAACCUGAAACCGUGUACGUACAAGCAGUGGGAGCACGCUUAGGCGUGUGACUGCGUACCUUUUGUAUAAUGGGUCAGCGACUUAUAUUCUGUAGCAAGGUUAACCGAAUAGGGGAGCCGAAGGGAAACCGAGUCUUAACUGGGCGUUAAGUUGCAGGGUAUAGACCCGAAACCCGGUGAUCUAGCCAUGGGCAGGUUGAAGGUUGGGUAACACUAACUGGAGGACCGAACCGACUAAUGUUGAAAAAUUAGCGGAUGACUUGUGGCUGGGGGUGAAAGGCCAAUCAAACCGGAGAUAGCUGGUUCUCCCCGAAAGCUAUUUAGGUAGCGCCUCGUGAAUUCAUCUCCGGGGUAGAGCACUGUUUCGGCAAGGGGGUCAUCCCGACUUACCAACCCGAUGCAAACUGCGAAUACCGGAGAAUGUUAUCACGGGAGACACACGGCGGGUGCUAACGUCCGUCGUGAAGAGGGAAACAACCCAGACCGCCAGCUAAGGUCCCAAAGUCAUGGUUAAGUGGGAAACGAUGUGGGAAGGCCCAGACAGCCAGGAUGUUGGCUUAGAAGCAGCCAUCAUUUAAAGAAAGCGUAAUAGCUCACUGGUCGAGUCGGCCUGCGCGGAAGAUGUAACGGGGCUAAACCAUGCACCGAAGCUGCGGCAGCGACACUAUGUGUUGUUGGGUAGGGGAGCGUUCUGUAAGCCUGUGAAGGUGUGCUGUGAGGCAUGCUGGAGGUAUCAGAAGUGCGAAUGCUGACAUAAGUAACGAUAAAGCGGGUGAAAAGCCCGCUCGCCGGAAGACCAAGGGUUCCUGUCCAACGUUAAUCGGGGCAGGGUGAGUCGACCCCUAAGGCGAGGCCGAAAGGCGUAGUCGAUGGGAAACAGGUUAAUAUUCCUGUACUUGGUGUUACUGCGAAGGGGGGACGGAGAAGGCUAUGUUGGCUGGGCGACGGUUGUCCCGGUUUAAGCGUGUAGGCUGGUUUUCCAGGCAAAUCCGGAAAAUCAAGGCUGAGGCGUGAUGACGAGGCACUACGGUGCUGAAGCAACAAAUGCCCUGCUUCCAGGAAAAGCCUCUAAGCAUCAGGUAACAUCAAAUCGUACCCCAAACCGACACAGGUGGUCAGGUAGAGAAUACCAAGGCGCUUGAGAGAACUCGGGUGAAGGAACUAGGCAAAAUGGUGCCGUAACUUCGGGAGAAGGCACGCUGAUAUGUAGGUGAAGUCCCUUGCGGAUGGAGCUGAAAUCAGUCGAAGAUACCAGCUGGCUGCAACUGUUUAUUAAAAACACAGCACUGUGCAAACACGAAAGUGGACGUAUACGGUGUGACGCCUGCCCGGUGCCGGAAGGUUAAUUGAUGGGGUUAGCGGUAACGCGAAGCUCUUGAUCGAAGCCCCGGUAAACGGCGGCCGUAACUAUAACGGUCCUAAGGUAGCGAAAUUCCUUGUCGGGUAAGUUCCGACCUGCACGAAUGGCGUAAUGAUGGCCAGGCUGUCUCCACCCGAGACUCAGUGAAAUUGAACUCGCUGUGAAGAUGCAGUGUACCCGCGGCAAGACGGAAAGACCCCGUGAACCUUUACUAUAGCUUGACACUGAACAUUGAGCCUUGAUGUGUAGGAUAGGUGGGAGGCUUUGAAGUGUGGACGCCAGUCUGCAUGGAGCCGACCUUGAAAUACCACCCUUUAAUGUUUGAUGUUCUAACGUGGACCCGUGAUCCGGGUUGCGGACAGUGUCUGGUGGGUAGUUUGACUGGGGCGGUCUCCUCCUAAAGAGUAACGGAGGAGCACGAAGGUUGGCUAAUCCUGGUCGGACAUCAGGAGGUUAGUGCAAUGGCAUAAGCCAGCUUGACUGCGAGCGUGACGGCGCGAGCAGGUGCGAAAGCAGGUCAUAGUGAUCCGGUGGUUCUGAAUGGAAGGGCCAUCGCUCAACGGAUAAAAGGUACUCCGGGGAUAACAGGCUGAUACCGCCCAAGAGUUCAUAUCGACGGCGGUGUUUGGCACCUCGAUGUCGGCUCAUCACAUCCUGGGGCUGAAGUAGGUCCCAAGGGUAUGGCUGUUCGCCAUUUAAAGUGGUACGCGAGCUGGGUUUAGAACGUCGUGAGACAGUUCGGUCCCUAUCUCGCCGUGGGCGCUGGAGAACUGAGGGGGCUGCUCCUAGUACGAGAGGACCGGAGUGGACGCAUCACUGGUGUUCGGGUUGUCAUGCCAAUGGCACUGCCCGGUAGCUAAAUGCGGAAGAGAUAAGUGCUGAAAGCAUCUAAGCACGAAACUUGCCCCGAGAUGAGUUCUCCCUGACCCUUUAAGGGUCCUGAAGGAACGUUGAAGACGACGACGUUGAUAGGCCGGGUGUGUAAGCGCAGCGAUGCGUUGAGCUAACCGGUACUAAUGAACCGUGAGGCUUAACCUU
rnacentral:rRNA from 1 species